ensembl:lncRNA
UUUUUUUUUUUUUUGAGGGAAAUCCAUAAUUUCCUUUUGAGAGAGAAUAGGAAUGAAAGGGAAAUCCCAGAAAUUCUCCUCCCAUUCUCUCUGUACUUGAAAUAUUAUUAACACUUUCAUUUUCUCACUCCUACUUUCACCAUUUGAAUCUGGGUCAUAACAGCAUGCCUACCCUUCAGUACCCCUGAGUGGGUGGUUGUUUUGGCUGGAACUAAGGCAUACUUGCUUUGUGACACAGAGUGCCCUUAUGGUGACACAUACCUGUCCUUUUCAGUUAGUCUUUUUUUUUAAUAAUCUUGUUUAUUAUAAAAAUGGACUAAAGGGUAGAAUUCAUGUUAUUCAGUAUUCACAUUGGUUUAGCAAUGUGUGAAAGGAAAACCUAUGAAAUACUUUAGUCUGUUCUUUUCACAAAAUUGGAUUAUUCCCUACAGCAUCUUUCCUUUUCCCUUACCAAAUACCUUUUCCUUAGUAAAAUAAUUUGAUGCAUGCUCUAACCUCUAAUACACAGCACAUGACUGAAGUCAGGCUCAGUUCCUAGCACUCAGUUCUUAAGAUCCAAAAUGAACAAUCUGCAGAGCUAGAGUUAAAUUACAGUAAAUGUUAAAUUCACUUAGUGCCAGGCUGCUUAUAUACAGAGAGUGUCAGACCGAUAUGAAUUCUUGCAUGAAAAGACAAGAGGGACCAAACGAGAUAUGUGAAAUAAGCUAAAUCUUCAAAUUUCCCUGCUAGCCUUAAAACAAAAUCAAGAACUUGUUCAUAAAAGGCUUAAAUGAUGUGCAGCAGAAUGGGAAUGACACCUGUAGAUUUAUGCCCUUUCCGAGAAAAUUAGGUCUCCUAUUGACUCUGCAUGUGUCUCGUUGCAAUGCUUCUUUCUAUCCUGUUAGAGGGGUGGAAAGACUCUGGGAGCAAAUAAUUCUGGACUUCUACAAAAGUUGCAGAGAGAUGAGAUACUAUUUUUCUGAAUUAAAACAUCUACCAUUCUGAGUGUGAUUCCAAUGAAGAUAAAGAAGAGAGAUUGUUCUGCAUGGUUUUGUUUUUCCCAGUUAUUAAAUGAUCAUUAAUUACUUGGCAAUAAUUCUAAACAGCUGCUAUUUUAAAAGUUCUAUAAAAUCAUUACCAACAACCUGUUCAAAGUAGUUCACACCUAUUUGCUUUUAGUUAAGUACUAAAGUACUAAGUAGACUAACAUAAAUUACUUGUGUAAUUAUACACAGUAUUAAAACAAUCUUAAAAUUAUAUAAAUAUAAGUUAACUGUUUGCUUUCACUAUAACUGCCACAAAACAAAUGCAAGAUUUGCAAGAAUUUGCAAGCUGUAGAGAGAAAUAAUGCAGUGUUAGUUUUAUAAUUUAGUGUACAGGACACAUUUGUGCUACAGCUCUGUAAACUGGGCCCGUGGUCAAAAGGAGCAAUUAGCACUUUGUUAGUAUGCAAUGAUGUACUAAUCUACACAGUCCCCAAAAGCAAUUGUCUAUUCCUUUUGCCCUCAUGUACAAAUUUUCUACAGUAUGUACUACUCUGCCCCUAAAAUAGCCCAUUACAGCACAGCUGCUGUAAAAAAAGUUUCCUGUGAUUACAAUCUAUGUAUCACUUAGAAUUUGUUUAUUGGAAUAAAAACCAUGUUGUUCCAUUAACCCCUUUUUCUGUGCUGAGAUAGCUGCAUAGCUCUCUGAAAGUGUUACACAGCUGUAACUGUUCUAUUAAAGAGCAAAAGAGGGUCAAAUUUAGGUGACAGAAUAUUUCCAUCUGUACCCUCUCUAAAGGUUUCUCGUAACUAAAAUAAACUGUUGCAAGCCGUGAUCUCCAGAAAAAUAAGCCAGGCGCUAAAAGUGGAUGGAUGGUAAAAAUCAGAGAAAGUAUCGAUAACACUGACAACUGUGAGAGGACUAAACCCUAAUAUUCUGUGAGUGUUCCACAUCCCCCUCUUGUGGCUGCUAUGUAAAGGAUGUGAAUCUAUCACGAGUAGCACUUAAAUUAACAUUGAAUAUAGAUGGCUUUUGUGAUAGUCACCCGAGAUGGUCCACAGUGAGGGCUACAAAAAUCAAGGAGGAAAACAAGGCAGUACACCGCCAGAAAUCUGAGAGUGUUAGAGCCUUGUUGUUAAAGACCUAGUUUCAAAGGCUAUUUUCCAAAAAUCAGGCUCUUUAUAGGCUAUCUCAGCUGUGGCACCCACCAGCCAAAACACCUUCAGCCACUAACCAUUUUGGAAAAUCUUGGCAGUGCAAUAUGUGCCUACCCACUAAGGGGGUACAGGCACCCUCUCCUCCCUAUUUCAGUUGCCUAGACGCAAGCUAAUACUGCAGUUUCGUAUUUACCCAGCAAAACUUAUAAGGUAUCUACCACAGGGUUAUAGUUCCAAAAAGGGUUAUGAACACUGAGACAUUAGCUCCUUCAGACUAAUAUUGAAAUUUAACCCUCAAGUUAAAGGAGAAAAUAAAAAAGAAAGUUCUGUGAACUGACAGCACAAUCAGUAACAUAUUAGAAUGAACAUUCAUGGGGACCUCUAAAUAAAAAGAUAUCCUUCAGAUAUCUUAAGAGUCACUGCCAUAUAGCUGUCUUUGAUAAUAUGCAUGAAAAGCUCUUUGGCUCUUCAGACUAUGAGAACAAUGGGCACACCCUGGGAUUUGACAGGAGGAAGGGAAGAACAGUGAAAAGGUUUAAAUAUAAAUAAAUAUCAUUACCUAAACUCCUUGCAACACUGCAUAAACUAAUAUAUUCCUUCUAACUUUUGGAAAGAAAUAAAUUAGAGAUUAUAUUGGGAUGAGACUACUUAGAUCAAUUUUAACAUAUAGAACACCCUAACAUUACAAAAUUUAUUAAUGGCUCUGUUACACAGCAAAAUAGUUCUACUAAGGUCAUAUCAACUACUUGUCCACCUCAUUCAAUUCCUUUUGCAAGCAGCAGUACCUGAUUCAUUUGAUUUCCUCCAUCUGUCUUUCUGUUUCCCCAGUUCAGCACUCCAGGACACCACCUUUUGCAAAGAAUGCUUUAAAUUUGCUCUGGAAAGAAAAUAUAGCAGCUUGGAUAUUAUCCAACAGGGCUAGCAUAGAGAAGAUUUCUUUGCUUGUUUGCUCCCAAGCUGCAGAAAGCUAUCUGAAAUAUUUGUAACACUACUGAAUUAGUUUUCAUUUACUUCAUUUAGCUUUCAUUGUCAAUGAGUUUUGUAACAGAGCAGUGGUAGGUGAGGAGUAGAUAAUAUGUUAACAAGAAGACUGUUCCUGUCUCUACUUAGUGUCAGCACCUGCCAUUUGGGAUUCUCUCCAAAAUUUGUGUUCCAUUUGUGAGAAUACUGAAAAACAAUGAAGAGACUUACUGAGAAUUCUAGUUCUGCUUGUCUACACUUACUUGGCAAAUUAAUAAAGAAAAAGAAACGAACAUACUGAAUUGCAAGCUUUCAGCUAU